UACACAGCUUUCCAGAGGUUUCCAGCUUAUAGGAUAUUCAUAUGGUAGUUCUGUGAACUAGAAACCUCUGGAAAGUGGUGU
ensembl:miRNA